ensembl:lncRNA
CAUCGCUCCGCGCUGGAAAACGCUUCUCCGACCCCCCCCUCCCCCGCCCCCCUCCACCCAUACGCUCCCGGUGCCCCCUCCGUUUAAAGCAGUGGAGCGUCAGAGCGGCCCUUCCCCAACGCGCGGCUCAUCGCUCCUCGCACGCCCGCUGCUUAUAAGCGCGGAGGGAGAAGCGAUUCCCAUAACGAAGGGCUGCGAAGCGGGGACGCCCGGCCACGCCGCACGCCGCCCACCUCCCUCCCCCUGCUGAUCGCCCGGUGCCGAGGGGCUUUAUGUGACCGCCGCGUCCCCGCAGCAUCGAGAUACCAGCUCAUGGAGAAGACCUCCUUGAAGACCGUGCCAGGACCUGACAGCACUAGAAGCCAUCCGUCUGUCCACCUGCACUGGGAUUUCACCUGCGUGGGCAUCUGCGAGUUCCCUUUCUUCUGUAGCAGCGCGUGGAUCUCAGAGCGGUGGCACUGAAACACUGCACAGAGCAGCUGUGGGAGUUUUGGCGGCAUAUGCUUUGCAAACGGUGUGGUUUUCAACCAUUUCUAUGUUCUACAACUUUGGAAUAAAGAAAAAAAAAAAGAAGGAAAAGUUUUGUUUGAUAUUAUUCUGGACUCUCAGAUCUUCCAGUUGUUCUCCAGAGCAAGCAAACAAGAAGCCUGGAAUACCUGCAUGCUGCCUUCCCAGUGCAUCGCAACCUGGACAGCUCUGUUCUAACAGAGACCCCUUGAUGUGAGGUGCCACCACCAGAUGUAACCAUGUGGCUGGCCCAGCAGCCGCUGGGCUGCUCACUGUCACACCACACCUUUAGGACUCCAGCAAGAACAAAUACGCUGCAGGGGAGAUUCCUCAUUCUUAAUCUUGCACUUCACUUAAGUUCUUGAUCUUUUCAUCUCCUUCCAAAGGGAAAAAAGCAAGGGAAAAAAAAAAAAAAAAGAAAAAAAAACCCGCCAACAACCCCCCACCUUGACUGGUGUAUUGCAAAAGGACUAAUGAGGUAUGAGUGUGGAACUCACCAUUGUGCUGCAGUGGCUUCCACACACAAAGGUCAUAGAAUCAUAGAAUAUCCUGAGGUGGAAGGGACCCACAGCGACCAUCUCACAGCGUUUCUCUGGCAGGACCAAUGAUGUACCAGGUGCUUACAGAGGUUUAGCGUUUGAAAAAGAAUGAUUCCACUGUAAAUGUAUUUCGGCUUCUACCACAAGAGCUGUGUCAGCACGUAGUUAUAUCCCCUGUGUGCCAUGGUAACAUUUCUAAGAACAUCCACCGAGGGACACCUCUGAGAUGCCCAAUAGUGAAUAAGAAAGUGCAGCUCUGGGUUCCCCUCCCAUCGCCAUACCAAAGGCCAUGCCUCACCUUAGCCCAGUGCCUGAUCUCCAGUUGCACGCUGUACCCCCGAAAUCAGCUUGUCAGCAGUGCUUCCACAUGUGACUCCUCGCAGCAUGUUUUGCCCAAGAUUGGUUUCACACUCUCCUGUUGGGAAGUGGGAGGGCUGAGAUAGGGCUGAUGGAAAGUCAGGAGGUGCUGCCCAGCAAACCCACAGAGCCACUGCCUCCCAGCUAUGGCUGCUCACCUGUGACACAGUGUUUGCUGAUAGUGUGUGCCUCACAGCUGUUCUCAGAGCUCCAGAAAAUCCAUGUACGACACCCAGCCCCAGCCAGGGUAAAAGUACCUCAGUCAGCACUUUUAAUUCCAAUUAAAUGUUGAAACUUUUGGAAACUUGUCCCAACUUGUUACCUGUAGACAGGACACAAAUGUAUUUUAACACGUUUGCUGGCAAAUGCGCUAAAAUACAACACACCCCGUCAACACUGCGGGUCUGAAAUCAUGUUAAUUAAAAGUUUUUCACUGGCACUUUUUUUUUUUUUUAAAUACACCUUUAUCCUCGUCCAGACAAGCCUUUAAAGGAAAGUGAAUCUUCAGGGCGGUUUUGGAAGCGGGAAUGCAGUGCAUCCUGAUCUGGCACAUGAGUUCUGGUGGUCCUGGUUUUGCGUCUCCUGUCCAGGCCUUCCCUGAGAGGUGCUGGAAUCUCAGGGCCACAGGGAGCUUCUCUCUGCCCAGUCAGGGCAGCAGCUGCACCAAAAUGAUCCUACCAAUAAAUAGCGUUCCCCAUGUGCCUGUCUGCCCUGCAGCCCUCUCCUGGCUUGUAAUUAGGGAAAAACAGUGUAACAUAAGCAUAAAGAAAAGAACAUCUUGCUUUCUUGUCAGGCUGGGAGUAGUGAGGAAACUUCUUCCUUGUUUUAGUUUGUAUACACUGAUAAUGAGAGAAUUGGAC